AAAGAAGAAGAGGAGAAACCAGCAAAAGAUAAAGGGGCACUUCUAAAAUAUUUUGGAGCAUCCUCUACCACUGGUCAGGAUGAGCCAACCACCUCCUCCGCUACACAUAUGUCUCCACAAAUAUCUGAUAUUGAGGAUGAAGACCUCUUUUCCUCUACUUCUCCCCAGCAUGAGCUUUCAGAAAUGCCUGGAGCUGAGUCCCCACUGAGCCCCACUGGUGAGGAUGAGCCUCUGUCAACCGACCCUGCUAACUGGCCCUCACAUCUGACUGACAGGAUUCAGACUGAGCGGGUUCACAGAGGACCAAGUAAGGUGCCACCUGGCUUUGUUUUCCGUAGGAAUGAGAGUGAUGGGAGAAGUUGCCACCACUAAUAUUUUAAGAAGACAUUAGUAAGUGGUGAAAAGAUGGCAAGAAGUUGGCUGAUUUAUUCAAUUAAGAAAAACAGCCUCUUUUGCUUCUGCUGCAAAUUGUUUUCCAAGAGGGACAUCAAUUUAACAAGUGCAGGAAUGGCAAAUUGGAAACAUGCAAGCAAUGAUCUCACAUCACAUGAAAACAGUACAGAACACCUCAAUUGCAUGAAAGCAUGGAAGGAACUGUCAGUGAGGUUAAAAAGUGGGACAACUAACGUUUUUUCAAUAAUUUGCACCCCAGAUAUAAGCCACACAGAACAGUUGUCAGUGGUCAUUAGAGUGGUGUCACUGAUGGAGAAGCCCCAUAUCAGGGAACAUUUUAUGGGAUUUUUGGAGGCAGAGGAGUCCACAGGCCAGCACUUGGAAUCCAUAAUCCUGACGAGACUUGAGGAGUUGGGAAUUCCUUUUGAAGACUGCAGAGGACAGUCAUAUGACAACGGGGCAAACAUGAAAGGCAAAAAUAAGGGAGUUCAAGCCAGACUCUUAGAAAAGAAUCCCCGAGUUCUGUUUGUGCCAUGUGGGGCACAUACAUUGAAUUUAGUUGUGUGUGAUGCUGCUAAGGGAUCUGUUGAUGGUUUAAGUUACUUUGGUGUCCUGCAAAAGCUGUACAAAUUAUUUUCAGCCUCCACCCAAAGAUGGGCCAUACUAAAGAACCAUGUGAGCAUCACCUUAAAGAUGUGGGCAGAAACAAGGUGGGAGAGCAAGGUCAAGAGCGUCGAGCCCAUGAGGUACCAGGGAGCUGUCGUGAGAGAGGCUUUAAUUGAGGUGAGAGACCACAAUUGUUGCUCUCUGCUUUUGUUACUUUUUAUAUAUCUGAUUGUAUAUAUUUUUGGCAUAUUAAUAUAGUGCAUAUUUAUUUAAGUUCUGAUAACUUGUACUCAUAUUUUGUGUAGAAUGGUGUUCAUUGUGCUUUGGCAAUGUUGGAGGUGGAAAUUGUGCACCUUAAAAAGUGUGUUUGCUGUUUAAAUGGCAAUAGUUAUAAAUGAUAAUUAUAAAUAAUAAUAAUUCACUUAAGUCUGGCUUUCUAAUGAAGGAUUUGUGCAAUUGAGAAAUUACCACGUAUGUUGUUAUAAUAAAAUAUAACUGUUUGUGCAGAACUUGCUAUUUUUUGUGUGUGUGUGGGGGGGGGGGGAUGGUCUCGCCCAGGGUGUAUUUCAAUGCAGAACCGCCACUGGAUGUCAUUUCCCUAUGCGAAUCCUCCCGCGAAUCAACGCUUCUCCCAGUGAGACUGCAGUGGGCCACCUCUCAUUAUCAGUGCGAGGCUUUGAUGGACUCUGGGGCGGAGGGAAGUUUCAUGGAUCAAGGCUUGGUCCACCGACUCGGGAUCCCCCUCAUUUCCAUCAAGCCUCCCAUCACUGUCAAUGCUCUGGGUGGUCAGCUUCUGUCCUCGAUCAGUCUCGUCACGUCUGGCAAGCAUGUGGAGGAGAUUUGGUUCCUCCUCAUUGACUCUGCUGGUGCUCCAGUGGUCUUGGGGCACCCCUGGCUCACACUACAUAACCCUCACAUAAACUGGCAGCAUGUCUUGGAGUGAGAAUUGUCAUGCAUCUUGUUUGGUGUCUGCUUGUUCUUCUGUGUCUCGUUCUGUGUUGCAGGAGAAGCAGACGGAUCUGUCUAACGUGCCCGAGGGGUACUUCGACCUGAGGGAAGUGUUCAGUAAGUCCCGGGCUGCUUCUCUUCCUCCGCAUCGUCCCUAUGACUGUGCCAUAGAGUUAUUGCCAGGUACAUCUCCCCCUAAGAGCGGGCUAUACUCACUUUCCGCACCGGAGAGGAAGGCCAUGGAGAAAUAUAUUUCUGAUUCUCUAGCAGCCAAACUCAUGGAGGGGUGUGAUUCUUCUUUGUGGGUAAGAAGGAUGGUACCCUGCAUCCUUGUAUUGACUAUCAAGGGCUGAACAACAUCACGAUAAAAAACACCUAUCCCUUGCCGUUGAGGUCUUCAGCUUUCGAGAGACUGCAGGGAGCCUCUUUAUUCACAAAGUUAGACCUUCGGAAUGCUAUCAUUUGAUGCACAUCAGGGAGGGAGAUGAGUGGAAGACCGCUUUUAACAACCCCAGGAGGCACCGUGAAUACUUAGUCAUGCCUUUCGGCCUGUCCAACUCCCCUGUGGUCUUCCAGGCACUAGUUAAUGACGUGCUGAGAGACAUGGUCGAUCAAUUUCUAUAUGUUUACCUGGAUGACAUAUUGAUAUUUUCUUUGUCUCUCCAGGAACACGUUCAGCAUGUCAGGCGAGUGCUUGAGAGGCUGUUAGAGAAUGGGCUUUUCGUCAAGGUGGAGAAAUGCAUUUUUCAUGCACAGUCUGUUUUCGUCAUUUAUCGUGUCAUCCGAGGGGAUGCGCAUGGAUCCCGACAAGAUUCAGGCAGUGGUAAAUUGGCCAACUCCAGAUUCCCAUAAGGCCCUGCAGAGGUUUCUGGGCUUUGCCAAUUUUUACCAGCCUUUUAUUCACAAUUACAUGUCAUUGUUUCAAGGUGGCUUGUAAUCCAGGAGUAAGUCUUACUAUUUCUCUUAUUGAGCAACGGUUCUGGUGGCAAUCUAUUGCUCGUGACACUCGUCAAUUUGUAUUGGCUUGCUCAGUCUUUGCUAGUUGUAAGAGUUCCACCCGAUCCCCAGUGGGGCUCCUUCAGCCGUUGUUAGUUCCUUCGAGACCCUGGUCACACAUUGCGCUAGAUUUCGUCACAGGCCUGCCUGCCUCCCAGGGUAACACGGUAGUUUUAACCGUGGUGAAUAGGUUCUCGAAGGCUACUCAUUUCAUCCCUCGGCCCAAAUUAACUUCUGCCAGAGAAACAGCGGUUGCUGUCAUUGACCACGGUUUUCGUAUUCAUGUCCUCCGGAUGGACGUGGUCUCUGACAGGGGUCCCCAGUUUAUAUUCAAAUUUUGGAGAGCGUUUUGUUGAUUGUUGGGGGCGAGUGUUAGUCUUUCCUCGGGUUUUCCAUCCCCAGAGUAACGGUCAGAUGGAGAGGGCCAACCAAGAGUUGGAACGAGGGUUGCAAUGUUUGGUGUCAAAGAAGUUCAAGUUGAAGUUUCAGUUUUAUUGUCAUAUGCAUAUUCAUACAGAGUACCACAGCAAUGAAAUACAAUAUGCCUUAGCACUCUCUCAGCACCAGUCAAUAAAUAAGAUAAUAAAAAAACAAAAACAAACAUACUAUGAGAAGAGACUAUGUGCCAGAUGACUAACAUCCUGUAUAAUUCACAAUGCCUUCCCAGUACUACGUUUCCAAUAAAUAUCCUGUAGUGAUUCCAGUGGAACCCCAAUAAUUUUUGAUGCAGUUUUAACCAACUUUGUCAGAAGAUUCAAUUCACUUGAAGUAGCCCUUCCAAACCACACUGUAAUAUUACCUGUCAGUAUACUCUCAAUUGUACAACGGUAACAAAUAAAAAAAAAAUAUUUAAAGACAUACCAUAUUUC